CAAUCGCAUUACAAAGAGAAAGCUGGAAUCCAGGCAAAGGACUCUGUUGUUCCAACCCUGUGGUCGAGGCUCUGUCAGGGAAAGUCCUCAUUCAGAGCUGUGGGAGACAUGUGUAGCUUGUGCCUGCCCACUCUCUCUUCUUCAGCCUGAAACCUGAGAGCCUGAAAGAGGCGAGAAGACCAAUGAGGAGACUUUGGAAAUGCCCAGAGGAAAUCAUGAGAGAAAACAAGCUGCCAUGUCAACAGCCAGCAAGGACAUGAAGCCAGCCUACAGCCAUGUGAGCUUGGAGGUGAAUCUCCCCCGAGCCAAGCCUUGAAGUGACUGCAGCCCCGGCCUAUGAGACAACCUGGGUCGGGGUGCCUGUCUAAGCUGCACCCAGAUUCCUGACCUGUAGAAACCACGAGAUAAUACAUACUUGUGAGA
rnacentral:lncRNA from 1 species